UCACCAGUUUCUUUUCACGAAUACCGAGAGAAACCGAGUUGCGUUCUUCGUGUUCUUCGUAAUCAAACGAGGAUUUGGAGGUGUUAUUGAAAUCCGAUGGAGGCGUAUGAAUAGUCAAAACGAAGAUAUCGACGCGUAGAAUCAAGUUUAAUCAUCUGUUUGUGUGCAGAUUCAACAGGAUUUGGACGAGACGUGUACGCUCGAAGACGUCAGAAAGUCGGAAUGGUAUUGCAAAGCGAAUAAGGCACGAAUCGAGGAAGUGAAGCUAUAUUGCGAAUAGAGUAUAGCCGGAGAUGGUCUAGAGAGUAUGUUAUGCAUAGAUUGUGAAAGUGGAAAGAUGAGAUUGAGCUAUGAGUUGGGAACUGGAUUUAAGAAAGGAUUAAAGAUGAGUGGCUAGUCUAUGAUUGCGAGUAAAGCUAAGGCUAGGCGAGGAGUCAGAGGUGUUUAGGAUCCAGUGAUCAAGAAGUGUGCAGGAAGAUUGAUAAGGUUGGUGCUAGCUAGAGUUGAGCUAUUGAGAUUCAGAUGUAAGUCAUAGCUGGAAUAGAUUGACAGUGAUUCUUCUUAUCGAAGAUGAUCUGAUUUGGUAAGAGAAGUUGUGUAAUAUUAGUGGUUGAUUCUAAUUUCAAUGCUGUAACCUGGAUGCGAUCCUGUUGUUUUAGGGGGUUAAAAUGUUUUCUUUUAAA